rnacentral:lncRNA from 1 species
UUCUCAACAUUCUCGGAUGCCAUUUUUAAAUACUGCCAUAAAACAAAGGUUAAUUAACAUAUCACAUAUUAUCCCUAUACUCUGACCAACCAAUUAAAUAACAAAUAAACUUAGGUAGGUCAUACUAGCGAAGGAAUUCCCCGUCUCUCCCUCCUAGUUCUUGUCUCACAUCUUAGCCAGGGAUCAUAUCCCUAAGCUUUGAUACCAACUGUGACGCCCCCAAAAUAGGUAUACAUCACCCAUCUUGAGUCGCCAAAUACAUGGUACAUAAAUCAAAUACAACUUAAUAAUACAACUAUCGUG